rnacentral:tRNA from 2 species
UUAGUUAAAGCCAAAAAGAGGCAUAUCACUGUUAAUGAUAUAAUUGAAGAUUUCUUCUAACUAAG